UGGUUAGUCCGCACGAGCGCACCCUUGUUUUAGUUGCCACCAUUAAGUUGGGCACUCUAAUGGGACUGCCUGGGUAAACAGGAGGAAAGGGGGGAUGACCUCCAAACAUCAUGCCCCCUUUUUCCCGGGGUUCACACCUGCUACAAUGGGGGGUACAAUAAGAGGCAAGACCGUGAGGUGGAAGCUAACUUAUAUAAAGUAUCUCAUUUCGGAUUGUAGGCUGCGCCUCUCCUACCUGAAGCUGGAGUUGCUAGUAAUUCGAAAUCAAUGGCUGCGGUGAAUACGUUCCCGGGUUGGC
rnacentral:rRNA from 1 species